CAGUAGCCGCGGUAAUACGUAGGUGGCAAGCGUUAUCCGGAAUUAUUGGGCGUAAAGCGCGCGCAGGCGGUUUCUUAAGUCUGAUGUGAAAGCCCACGGCUCAACCGUGGAGGGUCAUUGGAAACUGGGGAACUUGAGUGCAGAAGAGAAAAGCGGAAUUCCACGUGUAGCGGUGAAAUGCGUAGAGAUGUGGAGGAACACCAGUGGCGAAGGCGGCUUUUUGGUCUGUAACUGACGCUGAGGCGCGAAAGCGUGGGGAGCAAACAGGAUUAGAUACCCUGUAGUCCCUGUCUCUUAUACA
rnacentral:rRNA from 1 species